GGGCUUCUUGUCCAAGUUGGCUUAAAAGUGAAGCAAGAAAAAAUUCCUUCUUUAUCUUGUAAAUAGCAGUUUGACAAAACAAUCCCAAAUUGAGGUCCUCUUACUAGCUUUUAUCAUACAAAUGCAUCUGUUGAAAUACAAGGUCCAGAAUGAACUUUCACUCUUCACUAAGCCAACAUGUAUAAGAUAGUCCUUAAAUCAACAGCUAUUGAUCCAUUGGUUGGCUGGGGGAAGACCCCGUAAUAUGAUUGAAAGCUCUGGAAAAAGCUGGAGGAACAUUUACAGUAACGAGGAACCUGGGAACAGGAUUUACCGUUCCAUAUGCCCCCCAAUGACAUUACUUCAAGUGAUGAUGAUGACAGCCAUAAAUCGGUCCUGAUGGCCCACAACAGUUAAAACCUGCAUGGGAUUUGUUUUGCACACCACUGGCUAACCAAGGCUUGCUUAAUAAACCAUUUCAUCACUUUCAA